rnacentral:antisense_RNA from 1 species
UGUGGGAGCGAGCUUGCUCGCGAAGGCGUCGUGUCAGCCAGCAUUGCUAUUGCUGAUACACCAACUUCGCGAGCAAGCUCGCUCCCACA